AGAAAACCAUCCUUGUGUUUAAAGGAAAUAAAAGACGCCCCACAGAAUAUUAUGAUAUGAUUUUAGUUUAGAUUUCUUUUCACAGCAUUUGGUUGCUUCUUUGUUUUCCAAUUACUUCCUUUUCUGCGUUGCUUUCCUGAUCUGGAUCUGUGUAGUAGGCUAUUUUGCCUCUGUCACUGAAAUGGACAAGAUAGGAAAUUGUAUUCCUAGUGAGAAACUAGCAGCUAUCUCCCCCUCCACACAAACAUGAACCUCCAAAAUGUAUUAUUCUACACUGGCAAUUAUUUUGAACAAUAACUAGCUUCAGUGAAUUAAAAUCAUUUUUCCCCCAUUCCUACUGGCACUUAGCUGCAGGUUAGCAGCAUCUGAAAAAUACCUCAUUUCAGGCAGUUGGACAGUCUAUUUCUUAUCUCAUGGAGUGCACAGACAAGAGCCAAAGAUCAGAAGAUUUCUUUUCCUUUUCUUUUCGGUCUACUAGGUUGUUACUUUGUAAUUCAUCCUUUGUAGUUACCUUAAAAGCAUCAUAAUGAUAAUUCGCAAAACUUUGGUAAAGAUAAACCAAGGAAAGUUUAUCCCCACAUGUUCAAGCUUACUAUUUCCCCUCAGGUUACAUCGUUUGCAACAACACAGCAGGUUGUAAUAUCCAUGAAAUAAGAAUCUUACGAACGGAGGAAACCCAUUUCUAAGGACAGUUGGAAACUGCUUGCCUGAGAUGCUGCUGCUUAGAAUCAAAGAUUUCUAAAGUUGAGAGUGUGGGAGCAAGAUGAAGAAACAGCGUUAUCAAUUUCCAGGUCAGCUUUCUUUCCAGAGCACCGGUCCCCAACCCUCAGGUCGUGGACCAGUAGCGAUCUGUGUCCUGUUAGGAACCGGGCCGCACAGCAGGCGGUGAGUGGUGGGAGAGUGAGCGUUAAUGCCUGAGCUGCACCUCCUGUCAGAUCAGCAGUGGCAUUCAAUUGACACAGGAGCACGAACCCUAUUGUGAACUGUGCAUGUGAGGGAUCUAAGUUGUGUGCUCCUUAUAAGAUUCUAAUGCCUGAUGAUCUGAGGUGGAACAGUGUCAUCCCAAAACCAUUCUCCCCUCC
rnacentral:lncRNA from 10 species